CUCCUGGAUUCAGCGGCGGACGGGUGAGUAAUGCCUAGGAAUCUGCCUGGUAGUGGGGGAUAACGUCCGGAAACGGGCGCUAAUACCGCAUACGUCCUGAGGGAGAAAGUGGGGGAUCUUCAGACCUCACGCUAUCAGAUGAGCCUAGGUCGGAUUAGCUAGUUGGUGGGGUAAAGGCCUACCAAGGCCACGAUCCGUAACUGGUCUGAGAGGAUGAUCANUCNCACUGGAACUGAGACACGGUCCAGACUCCUACGGGAGGCAGCAGUGGGGAAUAUUGGACAAUGGGCGAAAGCCUGAUCC
rnacentral:rRNA from 1 species